GGCCAGUCAUCUCUAAAAAAUGUCCUUUGUGGCGUUUUUUUUUUUUAGAUUUGGCAAGGUAUAAUCUGGGCUGAUGGAGAGCUUUCUUAUUUGACUGUAAAUUAACAUCUGACCUAUGCAAAUAUUGUUU